rnacentral:tRNA from 2 species
GAGAGGCCUAAAGCAGUAAGGGCUGCUAAUCCAUACCCCCGCGGUUAG